UGGCUGAGUACUGCAGUCAUGAAGAGAGGAAAUGGGAGGAACUCCUUCCUGCACAGUCAUGCUGCAUGUAGAGGACAGGGGCAGCAUGCCCAAAAUCUACUCUUCCCCUGGAAAACAAGUGGAUGCAAGAAGGGAGAGAAAAGCAACUUCAUAACUACUGAGGAAACAGAAGUUAAGAUGAGAACAGGGGAAAAUGUUUGUUUGCAUCACUCUGCGGGAGCUUGCUAUUAAGUCUCACUUUAGCGGCUGCUUCUUUUGAGGAUGCUGCUGAUGUCUGAUGCUGAACUUGGUGAAUAUGCUUGUGGGGAAGCUGAAUUUUGCAUGCUAUCCUGAAGAAAGCAGGUGUAGCAGAAAGCCCCCUUUUCCUCUUGCCUGCAUUUGC